rnacentral:rRNA from 1 species
GACGGGGGGUCCAAGCGUUGUUCGGAAUUAUUGGGCGUAAAGCGUGUGCAGGUGGUUUGGAAAGUUGGAUGUGAAAGCCCCGGGCUUAACUCGGGAAGUGCAUUCAAAACUCCCAAACUUGAGUAUGGAAGAGGGUCGUGGAAUUCCUGGUGUAGUGGUGAAAUACGUAGAUAUCAGGAGGAACACCGGCGGCGAAGGCGGCGACCUGGUCCUAUACUGACACUCAUACACGAAAGCGUGGGGAUCAAACAGG